CUACAGAGGAAACAAUGAGCUCAACACAGAAGCUCGCCGUACACCAACUCCAGCUGUGGUAACCAUGGCUGUGCCCAUCAACACGCUGAAGCUGAGACGCCACCCGUCACUAUGGCGACUCCAAUAGGGUUACCUGUCAGCUGUGGACGCAUGAAAGGAAAACAGCAGAAACACAGACAUGUUUACUGGAACAUUUCCUAUUGACAGCUUUAUGGAAAAACUGGAGACGAAUGGAUGGUGCUUUCUUUGUUUGUCUAAAGAUAAUGAAUAAAACUCUACACACAUCUUAAACCACCCUCCUUUCUAUAUAUUUUGUUAUAUAAAUGGAAAGUAUAUAAGACACAAACUGAGCUUAUAUGAUACUAAGGACCCUGGAGGUCAGUCCACCUUUAUAAUUCAGCACAG